rnacentral:lncRNA from 1 species
UUACACAUGUCAUUGUAUUGUCACACCCACACUAUCUCCAUCCCAGUUUGCCUCUGUUAUUUCUCAACCUCGGCCUGCUUCAGUUCAAAAACAAUUCCUCACACCAUUAUUCCAGGAGCAGGUGCAGAAGCGUUGUUCAUUUGAUUUCCUUUACCCUCCUUUCCCCCCACCUUUCUUUUGCCCUUUCCAGUUUCACAUUUCCUUUCCUUCUAACUACCAGUCAUGCAUCUAUCUUUCUGUGUCGGUCUCUGUCGGUCUCCACAUACUGUCAAGUCUUUAGAGUCUAUAGGAUUUGAAUGAUUUGUGAUCUUAAUUUUAU